ACCUGCCUGCUAAAUAUGUGAUCCACACUGUUGGGCCGAUCGCAAGAGGCCACCUCACCGACACUCAUAAAGAAAACUUAGCAAGCUGCUAUAAAUCCUCUCUUAAACUGGCAAAAGAAAACAACAUCAGAU